rnacentral:misc_RNA from 1 species
GACAUAUGGGGCGAGCGUUACUCGGAAUCACUAGGCGUAAAGCGCGUGUAGGCGGAUGGGCAAGUCUGCUGUGAAAUCUCCCGGCUCAACUGGGAGGGGUCGGUGGAUACUGCUCGUCUAGAGUUGGGUAGGGGGUACUGGAAUUCCUGGUGUAGCGGUGAAAUGCGUAGAUAUCAGGAGGAACACCAAUGGCGAAAGCAGGUACCUGGGCCCGUACUGACGCUAAGACGCGAAAGCUAGGGGAGCAAACAGG